UACGGGGGGAGCAAGCGUUGUUCGGAUUUACUGGGCGUAAAGGGCGCGUAGGCGGCCACCGCAGGUCAGUUGUGAAAUCUCUGGGCUUAACCCAGAAAGGUCAACUGAUACUGCGGGGCUAGAGUGCAGAAGGGGCAACUGGAAUUCUCGGUGUAGCGGUGAAAUGCGUAGAUAUCGAGAGGAACACCGGCGGCGAAGGCGGGUUGCUGGGCUGACACUGACGCUGAAGCGCGAAAGCUAGGGGAGCGAACCGG
rnacentral:rRNA from 1 species